GUAGUUAUAGCCCUAUUUAUUCACACUUGUACGUUUAAAUCCAAAAGAAACUGCUAACACACAAUGGUUGCCAUGGAGUUCUGCGGACAUUGCUGCAUUCUUCGUCACACUACAUCUUAUUUAUGUGAUGGUGUAUAUUUCAGCUGUUGUACAGAUUGUGGAAAGGUUCUGAGUGAGUCUUGUGCAGAUUGUGGGAAUGUUACAAGAGAGUCGAUUCCUGUGAAUUUGAGGACAAAUAAAAGUGAUAGAAUAAUGAAGAAAAAGAGAAAGAACAUUGCUGUGAAAAAAACCUAAAGAACAAUUCCCUUGAAAAAAAAAGAGUAUAUAGGUAGUUUGUGACAUUUUUUUUUCUCAAUUAGAAGUUAUCUACCACAAAUUCAUUUUUUUUGGAUGAUUAAUGUAUUUAGAAACAAUUCAUUAUUUUAAGGGCUAUGGUUAAUUUGUUAAUGUACUAUGUCUUGCUUGUAGAUGUUUUUCACAGCUUCCGAAUUUAAGCUUUUGAGAAUA